AGAGUUUGAUCAUGGCUCAGAUUGAACGCUGGCGGCAUGCUUUACACAUGCAAGUCGAGCGGCAGCGCGGGGCAACCUGGCGGCGAGCGGCGAACGGGUGAGUAAUGCAUCGGAACGUGUCCCGGAGUGGGGGAUAACGCCGCGAAAGCGGCGCUAAUACCGCUAUGACUCUGAGGGGGAAAGUGGGGGACCUGCAAGGGCCUCAUGCUCUGGGAGCGGCCGAUGUCCGAUUAGCUUGUUGGUGAGGUAAUGGCUUACCAAGGCGACGAUCGGUAGCUGGUCUGAGAGGAUGAUCAGCCACACUGGGACUGAGACACGGCCCAGACUCCUACGGGAGGCAGCAGUGGGGAAUUUUGGACAAUGGGGGCAACCCUGAUCCAGCCAUGCCGCGUGCGGGAAGAAGGCCUUCGGGUUGUAAACCGCUUUUGGCCGGGAAGAAAAGGACGCGGUUAAUACCUGCGUUUUUUGACGGUACCGGCAGAAUCAGCACCGGCUAACUACGUGCCAGCAGCCGCGGUAAUACGUAGGGUGCGAGCGUUAAUCGGAAUUACUGGGCGUAAAGCGUGCGUAGGCGGUUCGUUGUGUCUGUGGUGAAAGCCCCGGGCUUAACCUGGGAAUGGCCAUGGAAACUGGCGAGCUGGAGUGUGGCAGAGGGGGGUGGAAUUCCGCGUGUAGCAGUGAAAUGCGUAGAGAUGCGGAGGAACACCGAUGGCGAAGGCAGCCCCCUGGGCUAACACUGACGCUGAGGCACGAAAGCGUGGGGGAGCAAACAGGAUUAGAUACCCUGGUAGUCCACGCCCUAAACGAUGUCAACUG
rnacentral:rRNA from 1 species